GGAUGACGUCAAGUCAUCAUGGCCCUUACGACCAGGGCUACACACGUGCUACAAUGGCGCAUACAAAGAGAAGCGACCUCGCGAGAGCAAGCGGACCUCAUAAAGUGCGUCGUAGUCCGGAUUGGAGUCUGCAACUCGACUCCAUGAAGUCGGAAUCGCUAGUAAUCGUGGAUCAGAAUGCCACGGUGAAUACGUUCCCGGGCCUUGUACACACCGCCCGUCACACCAUGGGAGUGGGUUGCAAAAGAAGUAGGUAGCUUAACCUUCGGGAGGGCGCUUACCACUUUGUGAUUCAUGACUGGGGUGAAGUCGUAACAAGGUAACCGUAGGGGAACCUGCGGUUGGAUCACCUCCUUACCUUAAAGAA
rnacentral:rRNA from 1 species